UUGCUGAUUGAGGUAGCCAUAUU
rnacentral:piRNA from 1 species